rnacentral:misc_RNA from 4 species
AACGCACAUUGCGCCUCUUGGUAUUCCGAGGGGCAUGUCUGUUUGAGCGUCAGUACACACCUCCCUCGAGAGUUUCUUCACCGAAGCUCCCCCGGGGUAUUGGGACGGCCUCUGCUCCGGCGCGGGCCUCCCUAAUGUGGCACGCUUGCGGGCCUUCGGUCAGAUGUCAACGUAGUAAAUUUCAACUCGUCGCAGCUGGUCCGGGGGCCUCGCCCGAAAUCAAACUCUAUGGUUUGACCUCAGAUCAGACAAGGAUACCCGCUGAACUUAA